GAGUGUUGAGAUAAUGUGUUUAAGAUUGCUGCCAUUUAAAUUUUUUCUGUUACUAAGUUUGAAUAAUUCUCCUUGACUUUAGGAGAUUAGAUUUUUUGAUUUGUUUGGUAUAUUGUUACCAUAUUUUUAGCAGAUUUUUAAAACCUCUUUUUUCUAUUUUUAGUCUUGAAUUUUUUGUAUUUAAACCGUUGAGGUGCAAAUCAAUUAUAUUCCUGUCUUCAAUUAUUUUUCUACUUAAAACUUCCCG
rnacentral:lncRNA from 1 species